rnacentral:rRNA from 1 species
GCACAAGCGGUGGAGCAUGUGGUUUAAUUCGACGCAACGCGAAGAACCUUACCUGGGCUUGACAUCCCGAUCGCACCUUAUGGAAACAUAGGGGUCAGUUCGGCUGGAUCGGUGACAGGUGCUGCAUGGCUGUCGUCAGCUCGUGUCGUGAGAUGUUGGGUUAAGUCCCGCAACGAGCGCAACCCUUGUCCUUAGUUGCCAGCAUUCAGUUGGGCACUCUAAGGAGACUGCCGGUGUCAAACCGGAGGAAGGUGGGGAUGACGUCAAGUCCUCAUGGCCCUUAUGUCCAGGGCUACACACGUGCUACAAUGGCCGGUACAAAGGGGCGCAAGACCGCGAGGUGGAGCAAAUCCCAAAAAACCGGUCUCAGUUCGGAUUGGAGUCUGCAACUCGACUCCAUGAAGUUGGAAUCGCUAGUAAUCGCGUAUCAGCAUGACGCGGUGAAUACGUUCCCGGGCCUU